rnacentral:rRNA from 1 species
GAUGAACGCUGGCGGCGUGCCUAAUACAUGCAAGUCGAGCGAACAGAUGAGGAGCUUGCUCCUCUGACGUUAGCGGCGGACGGGUGAGUAACACGUGGAUAACCUACCUAUAAGACUGGGAUAACUUCGGGAAACCGGAGCUAAUACCGGAUAAUAUAUUGAACCGCAUGGUUCAAUAGUGAAAGACGGUUUUGCUGUCACUUAUAGAUGGAUCCGCGCCGCAUUAGCUAGUUGGUAAGGUAACGGCUUACCAAGGCAACGAUGCGUAGCCGACCUGAGAGGGUGAUCGGCCACACUGGAACUGAGACACGGUCCAGACUCCUACGGGAGGCAGCAGUAGGGAAUCUUCCGCAAUGGGCGAAAGCCUGACGGAGCAACGCCGCGUGAGUGAUGAAGGUCUUCGGAUCGUAAAACGCUGUUAUUAGGGAAGAACAAAUGUGUAAGUAACUAUGCACGUAUUGACGGUACCUAAUGAGAAAGCCACGGCUAACUACGUG